rnacentral:lncRNA from 12 species
AUGAGGCAAGACACAAACAAAUAUGGUUUUUUGGAACAUCAGAGCUGGGGCAGAAAUCAGGGUGAUGUGAAGAACCACAAUCUUUCCUUCCUUCUCCCUCCACUUCCAGGUCUGAUUUCUGUGGACUGUGCUUGGGCUACACUGGUCUCCUCUUGGUUCCACAAAUGCCACAUGGGCUCCCAUAACAGGCCUUGUCACCUUCUGCUCCUUGUGCUCUGGUGGCACUUCCAUGUGUCUUUUAUACCUCCUGCUUGCAUUUGAAUCUCAGUUUAAAUCCCAUAUCUUACCCUGAUUCAGCCAAAGAAAAUAUAAGAAGACAUGAUUGAGAAAAUAAGUGUAAAUCUGUCAUCUUGGUACUAAGUGACAUUAAGAAACACUCAACUUUAAGGUGUAUUAAUAAUACGAUGACUUUGUUUUUGCUGUUUUAGUCCUUUUUUGUUAGAAAUGCUGAAGUGUUUAUGGGGGAAAUGACGUGAUGUCUUGGAUUUGCUGCAAAAUACUCCAACAACAGCAAAAAGUCUAGGAAGCAGAAGUGAGGUAAAAGAAAGGAGAUUGCCAAAAUGUUGAUAACUAUGGAUGCUGGGUGAUGGGUAUAUGGGAAUUCAUUAUAUUGCGUGUGCUUAAAAAUUUCCAUGAUAAAAAGAGGUGUGUUUGUGUGUGCAUGUGUAAACAUUUUCCAAGAGGCCUCUUGAUGCUCAACCUAGAGUAGUUACAUUGCCAUUUGCUGCAACAAAAUCCUCUUUUCGUUCUCCUGAACCUCCCUCUUCCUCUUUAUUGUUCUUUUACCUGAUUGGACUUGGUGUGUGUGAACAUGUGUGUGCAUUUUAUCAUCUUAUUGUAUCUUCUCCUCAUACCUGCCCUCCCAGAAUAUAAGGGAUGGCUCCUCCAAAUAGAAUUUGUAUGGUGCAAGCAAAGGGAUGUUUUUAUCUUCUGUUCACUGGUACAUCUCUAAAUGCCCCUAAAGCACCAGCUAGCAUGUGGUAGGUGCUUAAUAAUUAUUGAGUCAAUGAAUCCAUACUUGAAGCCCCCAGAGACCAUGUCCACUUACCUGUGCAUCAAUGUGGCUCCUAUUGUGACAUGAUUGUUCAGGAACUGAUGGCUAAGUAAAUGUUCAUGUUGCCCCACCGACAACAGACUUGUCUUAAUCUCUGGCACUUUCUUGGGCUUGUAUUUGAGAGCAACUCAGGCACUAUGCUGGCAAUAUUGGAGAGUAGAGAGCAGUUUCUUAAGAGACUGCUUUAGGAAUUCCGGAAGUAGUUCU